rnacentral:rRNA from 1 species
CCCUUAGAUGUUCUGGGCCGCACGCGCGCUACACUGACGGAGUCAACGAGUUGUCCUGCAUCGGAAGGUGUGGGCAAUCUUUUGAAACUUCGUCGUGCUGGGGAUAGAUCUUUGCAAUUUUCGAUCUUGAACGAGGAAUUCCUAGUAAGCGUGAUUCAUCAGAUCGCGUUGAUUACGUCCCUGCCCUUUGUACACACCGCCCGUCGCUACUACCGAUUGAAUGGUUUAGUGAGGCCUCGGGACUGGCGCGCUCGAGUAGCAAUACACCUGCGCGCCGGGAACUUGGUCAAACUUGAUCAUUUAGAGGAAGUAAAAGUCGUAACA